CAAGACCGGUGCCAGCCGCCGCGGUAACACCGGCGGCCCGAGUGGUGAUCGUGAUUAUUGGGUCUAAAGGGUCCGUAGCCGGUUUGGUCAGUCCUCCGGGAAAUCUGAUGGCUCAACCAUUAGGCUUUCGGGGGAUACUGCCAGGCUUGGAACCGGGAGAGGUAAGAGGUACUACAGGGGUAGGAGUGAAAUCUUGUAAUCCCUGUGAGACCACCUGUGGCGAAGGCGUCUUACCAGAACGGGUUCGACGGUGAGGGACGAAAGCUGGGGGCACGAACCGGAUUAGAUACCCGGGUAGUCCCAGCCGUAAACGAUGCUCGCUAGGUGUCAGGCAUGGCGCGACCGUGUCUGGUGCCGCAGGGWWKCCGUGAAGCGAGCCACCUGGGAAGUA
rnacentral:rRNA from 1 species